rnacentral:rRNA from 1 species
UGGGGAAUUUUGCACAAUGGGCGCAAGUCUGAUGCAGCCAUGCCGCGUGUAUGAAGAAGGCCUUCGGGUUGUAAAGUACUUUCAGCGGGGAGGAAGGGAGUAAAGUUAAUACCUUUGCUCAUUGACGUUACCCGCAGAAGAAGCACCGGCUAACUCCGUGCCAGCAGCCGCGGUAAUACGGAGGGUGCAAGCGUUAAUCGGAAUUACUGGGCGUAAAGCGCACGCAGGCGGUUUGUUAAGUCAGAUGUGAAAUCCCCGGGCUCAACCUGGCAACUGCAUCUGAUACUGGCAAGCUUGAGUCUCGUAGAGGGGGGUAGAAUUCCAGGUGUAGCGGUGAAAUGCGUAGAGAUCUGGAGGAAUACCGGUGGCGAAGGCGGCCCCCUGGACGAAGACUGACGCUCAGGUGCGAAAGCGUGGGGAGCAAACAGG